UGUAAACUGCUUUUAUAAGGGAAUAAAGUGAGUCUCGUGAGACUUUUUGCAUGUACCUUAUGAAUAAGGACCGGCUAAUUCCGUGCCAGCAGCCGCGGUAAUACGGAAGGUCCGGGCGUUAUCCGGAUUUAUUGGGUUUAAAGGGAGCGUAGGCCGGAGAUUAAGCGUGUUGUGAAAUGUAGACGCUCAACGUCUGCACUGCAGCGCGAACUGGUUUCCUUGAGUACGCACAAAGUGGGCGGAAUUCGUGGUGUAGCGGUGAAAUGCUUAGAUAUCACGAAGAACUCCGAUUGCGAAGGCAGCUCACUGGAGCGCAACUGACGCUGAAGCUCGAAAGUGCGGGUAUCGAACAGGAUUAGAUACCCUGGUAGUCCGCACGGUAAACGAUGGAUGCCCGCUGUUGGUCUGAAUAGGUCAGCGGCCAAGCGAAAGCAUUAAGCAUCCCACCUGGGGAGUACGCCGGCAACGGUGCAACUCAAAGGAAUUGACGGA
rnacentral:rRNA from 1 species